AUUCAUAUACAAUGAUGUAUGCCCCUCUUGAUCAAUUAAUUACACACGAGAUACAAUGUUGACAAGCCAUGGCUCGAGAUUGGAUCUCCUACUGUUGAAAAAACGAUUGAGUGUGAAAUUUCUGCUACCUGACGAUGUUAUAGAGCUAAUACUAGAGAGACUUCCGGUGAUGUCUUUGCUGAGAUUCAAGUCCGUAUCCAAGAAGUGGAAAUCCACAGUAGAGGACCGUCGUUUUCAGGAAAGGCAGUUGCUCUGUCGUAAGCAAUCACGAGGUCCAGAUUUCCUUUUCAUGUCCCUUCGUGAUGAUGAUCAGAUCAUAAAGCAUGCUCCAAUAAUUUUUUAUAGGUCAGAAAUAGUUUAUAAUAUGUGGUUCCGUUCUUUGUGCUGGUCGAUAUGCCACGGUAGUUGUGACAGUCUAGUAUGCCUCUAUGACAUGCGUGUCGGUGUAGUAGUGGCCAAUCCCGCCACUAGAUGGUAUCAAACUUUUCCUCUUGCAAGAAUACAACACUAUAUGUCUAGACACGGAGUGUCUGUCUCCCCAAGUCCUAAGCUUGGAUUCGGUAAAGUCAAACUUAACGGCACGUACAAGCCGGUUUUCUUAUAUAAUUCGUUUGGGUUUGGCCUAGACAAUGUUACCACUUGUGAGGUUUUCGAUGUUAGCACUAAUGCUUGGAGGUACGUUCACCCUGCUUCUCUUUAUCGGAUCAACGCUUACAAUAAUCCAGUACUGUUCUUUGAUGGAUCGCUUUAUUGGUUAACGGAGCUUGAAGAAAAUGUAUUAUCAUUCGAUCUUCACAAUCAAACUUUUCAAGUAAUCUGCAAAGCUCCCAUUGCCCAUGUGUGUGAUCCUUCUAGCGUCUCCAUGUGCAUCCUUGAUAAUAGCUUGUUUGUAUCUGAGAAUAACUGGUCCACCUUAGAGAUAUGGUCGUUGGAUUGUUCAGGCGGCAACACCAAGACAUGGAAGAAAAUGUGUUCGGUGGAUCUAAUCAAAAGAGGCUCUUUCUUCAGGGAAUGCGCACUCUUACCAAUAGCAAUCUUGGACAAGACUAAGUUAUUACUUGGUGGUCAUGAAUGCACACAUCAACUGGUGAUGCAUGUUCUUCAUACCAUAAAUGAUGAAAUACUCUACAGAUCUAAGAAACCCAUAGAUUCUUUUUGUUAUAUCCAAAGUUUGUUUUCAGCUUUAUCAAACUAAUUUUCUCUUUCUAAUCUAACGCUUUAAUGUGACCCUGAUCUUCUCCCCUUUGGCUUAUUAUAUGUUUAUUACACAUUCCUAGUAGUAAUGUUUAAAAGUAUGUUUAUAUCACUGUAUCAUACAUGCAUUUUAACAUCCAUUGAUAAUUUAAAAGACAUGUUCACAUUUGCUUAUGUAACUAUGACUUUUUACGUUGUAACUUAUAGCAUGAACAAGUUUAGUGCAUGCUUGUGCAACUAGCUAAGUACCAAUUUGAUGGAUAGUAGUCAUGAUCAUGUGAACGUUGAAUCAUUCACCAAUGCAAGUAAUAUUACUUUGUUUUUGUUUAUUUUAAGCUAAUUAAUUUCCAAAUUGAAUAUAUAUAAUUGUAAUUGUAAUUUUGUAACUUUGAGUCUCUUAAUUGUAAUUUCAUAGCAACUGAAAGUAUUGAAAAUCGUCGUAUCAUAAAUCAAUUCAACUCCGGUUUUCUUGCUCAAUUCUGCUUUUAAUUCAGGUUCGGUCCGGUUAUAAAUCGAACCGAAAACCAAAGAGGAAUAGAUCUGGUGUCCGGUUUUAGUGUACCGGAACCAAUGUCACAUUCCGGUUUGUUUAGUCUUCAUCAUCAGUGGUGAGUUCUCUCAUCUUUGCAAGAGAGUGAUGAUCGCCGAAGCCGAGACCAAAGACACGAUGGAAGAGAUACAAACGCAGAAGAAAGAAGAGGAAGAGGAUGAGGAAGAAGGUCCUCCUCCGGGAUGGGAAUCUACAGUUCUUCCUCCUCCUCCUACUCCGAUCUCCGCCGUCACCACCGCCGCCGAAAUUUCCGAGAUGGCGCAAAUGGUGUGUGGAUCUUGCAGGCGUUUACUUUCGUAUCCCCGAGGAACCAAACACGUCAAGUGUUCUUGCUGUCAGACUGUUAAUCUCGUUCUUGAAGCUUACCAGGUUGGUCAGGUGAAGUGUAGCAAUUGCGAACUUCUCUUGAUGUAUCCUUAUGGAGCUCCAUCUGUCAGAUGUUCCUCCUGCAAAUCUGUCACAGACAUCAGA